rnacentral:lncRNA from 1 species
GCGGCAGCCCGAUCACCCCCAAACCUCGUCAGCAUCCCCACCUGGCCCCAACCUGCCAGCCUUCACCAGGCUCUUAACAAGAGGCCAGUUCUCAGCCAGCCUCUCUCCUGUCCUUGAGCGGCAAGUGGGCAGCUGAGCAGAAUUGUAGAAGGAAUGCAAAUCAGACUAAUACGGCCUGAGAGGAAAUUUAGAGAAGACAGUAGACAUGAAAGACCAAGAAGACCCACACACACAAUAUUGUGUUUCUGAAGACAAGAACAGAACACCAUCUAUCUCAUCUCACUGCCCAAACCAACAAAGGUUCUCCACUUGGAAGGACUCAUAUGAUUAUCCUAGUUUGUGAACUACCUUUGGAGCCCGUAAAGUGGAGAUGAGCCCCAUGCAUGUCACUGAACUCAGAACAUGGGGAGCCUGGGUUACAGAUCCACAGAAUAACCAAGACCAGCGUGGCAGGGGCCUCCAGGGGCCGAAACCUCCAGGAGAGAAGUCAGUAAAUGCUAUAGAAAGCACAGCCUGUGUCGGGAAUGGAGAUGAAAUAUUUCUUUGUUAGACAUGCCAUCAAAAAGUCCCGAAGUUGAGGAAGAACGCAGGUUUAUUUUCAAAUAAAUGCUCACUUGGAC